rnacentral:lncRNA from 1 species
GAGACCAAUUUGGCCUGGGGAGAACCGCCUUCAGGCGUUUGGACUCAGUGGAGGUUGUGAGUGCCCAGCAGUGUGGCCUGAAUCUCCGUGGGGUUUAGGGAGACGAAAGGACCCCAGAUCGACGUCCCCUCGUUCCCACUUUGGGGAUCGGCGCUCUGGCUGUUUCGUGAAGGAGAGAGAGGUUGAUUCCAUACCCUGGCUAUUGUGAAUAAUGCUGCAGUGAACAUGGGAGUACAUACAUCUGUUUGAGGAACUCAGAGUGGUUUUCCAGAUGGGAAUCACAUUGCUCUCUGUCCCUGAGAUCUUGCUGGAGACAGGGCUACUCAGUCCCUCUUUGCCAGGUAAUCUGUUCCAGAAGAAACAUGUGUCGUUCUGACUGAGCCCCUGCCUGUCUGUCACCUUAAGAGCCAGUCAAUUCAUAUGGUCCCCAUAUCAAAGUCUCCUGUGCCCAGAGAGAGGAUUUCAUUUCAACCAUCACCAUCACCACCAUCAUCAUCAUCACCAAGAGAUGUUGUUGAAUUGAUACUGGAAAAGCAGUUUCUAUUGAGCCCCCAAAUGAAGAGUGAGUGCAGAUGAAGAGGAGGCAGGACUCACAAGCCCUUGAACUUUAUUCCAGAUCUGUUAGCACCUACAGGACCCUGCACCAGGAUUUCAUCUGUACUAUCAGCUUCUUCAAAGAGAGAGAGGUUGUUGAAUUGAUAUUGGAAAAGCAGUUUCCCAUUGAGUCUCAAAUGAAGAGAGUGCAGAUGAAGAGGAGGUAGGAGUCACAAGCCCUUGACCCUCAUGCUAGACCCAUUACCACCCACAGGACCUUGCAGUGGGAUUUCAUCUGCACCAUCAGCUUCUUCAGAGAGAGAG